AAACACUAUUUAUCGAGGUAAAGUUCACUUUCUUGUACGGUUUUUCCGCUUGCCAUCAAACGUCGAAAAUGUUACCUCGAAAAAAUUGUACGACAAGGGAGAUUUUAAUGCGGAAAUUUUUUCCAGGGAUUUUUCUAUGAGCCGUUAGGGCUCUCCUCGCUUUGCUCCUUCUCACUGCUCCUCUCCCUCUGUCGAAGCCUUCUCCGCCGUCGAAGCCCUCUCCUCCUAUCAGUGCUCCUCUCCCUCUGUCGAAGCCUUCUCCGCAGUCGAAGGCCUCUACCUAUGUGGAAGCCCUCUCCCCUUAUCGUUGCUCCUCUCCCUCCGUGAAAGACCUGUCUUCUAUUGAAGCCCUCAGAAUUGCUACAUCUGUUGGGGAAGCCCUCUCCUUCUCACUAUCUUUUUUCUCUUCCUCCUUCGCGCUGCGUGUGGUUGGAAGAAGUAGUGUUUGUCCCAUUCUGGCUGCCAAACAUCCACCAAGAGGUGCAGCAGCGUAAGAUAUUGUAUAUGGGUCUUUAUCUGCUUAUCUGGGAUGGCUUUCGAACUUUAUGGAAUGCUUGCUGGCAAUGUGAGUCCAAUGACAGGUGAAACUAUAAAGCCCGCUUGUGGUGGUGAGGAGGAGGCCUUUCCGAAAAAAGUGGUCACACCAAUCUAUGAAACAAUUGCACAGGUUUAUCGCUGUAUCUAUUUGUUCAGAUGCUAAAUGAAAUCUAUAUGUUUAUUCCA